AUGGACAUGAGGACCCCUGCUCAGCUCCUGGGGCUCCUGCUGCUCUGGCUCCCAGGUGCCAGAUGUGAUGUCCUAAUGACCCAGUCUCCAUCCUACAUGUCUGCAUCAGUAGGAGACAGAGUCUCCAUCACUUGCAGAGCCAGUCAGGGCAUUGGUACUAAUUUACACUGGUAUCAGCAGAAACCAAGGAAAGCUCCUAAACUUUUGAUUUAUUGGGCAAACAGCUUGCAGACCGGGGUCCCAUCCAGAUUCAGUGGCAGUAUAUCUGGGGAAGAGUACACUCUCACCAUCAGCAGUCUUCAGCCUGAAGACUUUGCAACUUAUUACUGUCAACAGGGUAGUAGGUACCCUCCCACAGUGAUACAAGCCAUAACAUAAACCUCCCAGGGAAGAAGAAGUGAGAGGCUGGGCUGCCCCAGCUGCUCCUCCUGGGGCGUCUGCCUGCAGAUAGUGCUUCUUAGCUAGAGCAAGGCUUUGAAAUUCAGUGGGGGUUUGGUCCAGGUGGUCAGUGACAAUCCUCUCAAUUUAUUCUUUCUUCCAUCUCAGCCUCAGGGGCACCAACCAGACAAGGUUUCUGUUGUCUUAUAAAUAACACAAGUCUGUAUUUCAGAGCAUAUGUGAUUUGGUAUUCAGGUGGAUAUGAUUUCCACUUGGUCACAAGAGAGACAUUUGCCUUCUCUUUCCUCCUCUUAAACUGCUGCAAGCACUUCCUGACUUGCAUAGUGUUUUCCCUUCUAAGUCUGAGAUGAAGGCUCAGCUUGACUUUGUCUUAACAUAUUAGCACUCCUCGGUUCACUCUUUAAAAU